UACGGAGGGUGCAAGCGUUGUUCGGAAUUACUGGGCGUAAAGCGCGGGCAGGCGGUUCGUUAAGUCCCCUGUGAAACUCCGAGGCUCAACUUCGGACAUGCAGGAGAUACUGGCGAGCUAGAGAUCGGUAGAGGCAGGCGGAAUUCCUGGUGUAGCGGUGGAAUGCGUAGAUAUCAGGAAGAACACCUGUGGCGAAGGCGGCCUGCUGGGCCGAUUCUGACGCUGAUCCGCGAAAGCGUGGGGAGCAAACAGG
rnacentral:misc_RNA from 1 species